rnacentral:rRNA from 1 species
GACGAACGCUGGCGGCGUGCUUAACACAUGCAAGUCACGGGGUCCGCAAGGAUAACCGCGAACGGGUGCGUAACACGUGAGCAACCUGCCGUACUCAGGGGGAGUAGCCGGCCCAACGGCCGGGUAAUACCGCAUACGAUUCUUCGGGGGAGGUCCCCGGGGAAGGAAACCUCUGGGGGAGGUACGAGGGGCGUCGCGGCCUAUCAGCUAGUUGGUGCGGUAACGGCGCACCAAGGCGACGAUCGGUAGCUGGUCNGAGAGGAUGACCAGCAUCACUGGGACUGAGACACGGCCCAGACUCCUACGGGAGGCAGCAGUGGGGGAAUAUUGGACAAUGGGCGCAAGCCUGAUCCAGCCAUGCCGCGUGGAUGAU